rnacentral:rRNA from 1 species
UACGGAGGGUGCGAGCGUGUUCGGAAUUACUGGGCGUAAAGGGCGCGUAGGCGGCACGGCAAGUCAGGAGUGAAAGCCCUGGGCUCAACCCGGGAACUGCUUUUGAAACUGCCGAGCUAGAGUGCGGAAGGGGCAACUGGAAUUCCCAGUGUAGCGGUGAAAUGCGUAGAUAUUGGGGAAGAACACCUGAGGCGAAGGCGGGUUGCUGGGCCGACACUGACGCUGAGGCGCGAAAGCUAGGGGAGCGAACGGG